CUUUUGGUCAGAGUGUUUGAACUCAGUAA
rnacentral:piRNA from 1 species